rnacentral:rRNA from 1 species
UGGGGAAUAUUGCACAAUGGGCGCAAGCCUGAUGCAGCGACGCCGCGUGCGGGAUGGAGGCCUUCGGGUUGUAAACCGCUUUUGUUCAAGGGCAAGGCACGGUUUUUGGCCGUGUUGAGUGGAUUGUUCGAAUAAGCACCGGCUAACUACGUGCC